GCGAGUUCUAAACUCCCAACCCUCGUGGACAUACCUUCUGUUGCUUCGGCGGGGCGCCCUAACUCGGGGCGCGGCUCCAAUGGAGCACCCGCCGGCGGCACGCAAACCCAAACUCUGUUUUCUGGCGUAUUCUGAGUGGACUACAAAUAAGUCA
rnacentral:misc_RNA from 1 species